GCCAACUCUCUUCUAACCAACUUUUACCGCUCGCUCACGCUUGGCUUGCACGUCACUGUCAUAGGCCAAACGUGCCACGUAGAAUAUACUCAAGUUUGUAGUAGUAGACCAACUAUAGGAACUUUUUAACUUUGUGAUGUUUACAAUUAUUGACAGCGUGCCACUUGAAAUUAUCGUUCAAUAUAACUUUGGACGGUACGGUGUUAUCAAAGUUUUCAAUAAUACACAGGAAUAAUUAUAAUGUUUGCAAGUAAUAAAUCCGUCUUGGUUCGAAAUUGCUAUAAGAAAUUAAGGAUAAAUUUAACGACGAUCUUGCCCUGCGCGUUCACCAUUUCAUUAAAUUAUUAGUGGACUCCUUACUGGCUUUCCAUGGGAAGCAUCAUUUACAAUUUGAGCCAAAUCAUCGAAAUCUGGAUAUGCCAAUGUUUGUAGCUUUGAGUGGACUAGGGCUCCAUUCACCUUUACUUCGA